UCAACGGCCCUUAUCAGGGCCACAAAUUCAUUUAUGCGUUUGAUAU
rfam:Cerapachys biroi unplaced genomic scaffold scaffold198, whole genome shotgun sequence.